UGCGUAGGCGGAAUGAUAAGUCAGUGGUGAAAUCCUACAGCUUAACUGUAGAACUGCCAUUGAUACUGUUGUUCUUGAGUACAUUUGAAGUGGGCGGAAUGUGUCAUGUAGCGGUGAAAUGCAUAGAGAUGACACAGAACACCGAUCGCGAAGGCAGCUCACUAAACUGUAACUGACGCUGAGGCACGAAAGCGUGGGGAUCAAACAGGAUUAGAUACCCUGGUAGUC
rnacentral:rRNA from 1 species